rnacentral:lncRNA from 1 species
GUCCAUUUUCGCCCUAAAACAGUUCAAAGCCUCUUUUUCUAUAGAUAACCAGUCACAUACUUUACAUCUAUAUACAAAGAAAAAGGAAAAUCAAUUACUGGAAAUAUCGCAGGACCAAACAGCGCCGUUAUGGCCACGGUAGGUGCCGAGUCGCUCGCCAUUAUCUGAGAACCAAACAGUCGGAGUGUGGUCUUUGGCGCAGGAGAAAAGCAUAUCCCCUUCCCUAUUAUACUUCAAAAACGUCAAUGGCCUCUCGUGCCCCUUCAUCAGUAUUGGCCUCAUCUUCGAUAAGUUAUUUGUGUAAAAUCAAAUUAAUCACCCUUUCUCUUUCAGAUUUCUUGGGUGCGUUGAAUUGAGAUUUUUAAAGUGGGUGACUUGUGGACUUUGUGAAAUUUUAAUUAAUUUUUAUGGAUUUGGUAGGAAUCAGGAAAAGUUUUUCUUGGAUUUGUGGAGAUUUUUACUAAAGACUUUUAAGGAAUUUUUUUUUUUUUUAAGGAAAUAUGC